UACCUGAAUUAACAGUUCUAUUUUUCUUUCGCCUUUUUAUUUUGGGGAAGGAAAAGUACUCUGCCUGAAGGCCUGGCUUCCCGGGAGUUUCCAGAAACUGAUUUUCUAGAAAUUGCCCAAUGCCGCUAGAAUCUAUGCCAUUGUUUAAAACUGACUUCUGCCAAGGGAAAGGAUGUGGAGUCAGAGAAUCGCAAAGAAUCCCUGGAUAGGACCUCAGAGAUCAAGUCCAACCUCCCUCCCUCUGAAUCCCGUAGGACAUGAUGCAAAGGCUGGUGACAGAGAGAGAUGCUGAGAAGCAGAAGGAAUCAGGCUCGAGCAAAAAGGACGGAAGAUACGUGGUGUGGUGGACAGUGGGCAGAUGGUAAUGGUCUGAGCUGUGUGACCUCAGGCACGUUCUUAACCUCUCUGGGCCUCUGUGCUUUUAUCUGUAAGAUAAAAGAGUUCCUGCCUGGCAGGGUGGCUGUGAGAUCAAAGACACAUAUAUAGAGAAGAGAUGCUCCGGUGAGACUUCAGCAAGAUUCAGAUCAUUUCUAUGGCAUAAAAUGAACCACACUCAGAAGAAAAAUUGUCCCUCAACUUGGAAGAUUACCUAUAAUGUAAAAUAUUAAUGUGUUCUCUGGGA